GACGAACGCUGGCGGCGUGCUUAACACAUGCAAGUCGAACGGAAAGGCCCUGCUUUUGUGGGGUGCUCGAGUGGCGAACGGGUGAGUAACACGUGAGUAACCUGCCCUUGACUUUGGGAUAACUUCAGGAAACUGGGGCUAAUACCGGAUAGGAGCUCCUGCUGCAUGGUGGGGGUUGGAAAGUUUCGGCGGUUGGGGAUGGACUCGCGGCUUAUCAGCUUGUUGGUGGGGUAGUGGCUUACCAAGGCUUUGACGGGUAGCCGGCCUGAGAGGGUGACCGGCCAGAUUGGGACUGGGCUACGGCGCAGAGUCCGGCGGGAGGCAGGAGUGGGGGAUGUUGCACGAUGGGCGGAAGCCUGAUGCAGCAACGCCGCGUGCGGGAGGACGGCCUUCGGGUUGUAGGCCGGUUGCGCCUGUGACGAAGGGUGAGUGACGGUAAUGGGUAAAGAGGCGCCGGCUAACUACGUG
rnacentral:rRNA from 1 species